rnacentral:rRNA from 1 species
AUUGAACGCUGGCGGCAGGCUUAACACAUGCAAGUCGAGCGAGCGGCGGACGGGUGAGUAAUGUGUGGGAAACUCCCUGCUUGAGGGGGCUAACUACUGGAAACGGGAGCUAAUACCGCAGUCCAUCGGAUGUGCCCAGGUGGGAUUAGCUAGGCGGUGGGGUAAUGGCACACCUAGGCGACGAUCCCUAGCUGGUCUGAGAGGAUGACAAGGCCCACUGGAACUGAACUACGGUCCGGACUCCUACGGGAGGCGGCAGUGUGGAAAAUUGCACAAUGGGCGCAAGCCUAAUGCAGCCAUGCCGCGUGUCGGAAGAAGGCCUUCGGGUUUGAAAGCACUUUCAGCGGGGAGGCGUUACCCGCAGAAGAAGCACCGGCUAACUCCGUGCCAGCAGCCGCGGUAAUUC